rnacentral:lncRNA from 1 species
UUGCUAUUAAACUUAACUACAUAAUACAUAAAAAGGAGAACCUUGGAUUUUGGAAUGGAUGCAUAAUAUACAUCAAGCAAAGGCUGAUUUAUUACAUUUUUUUUACAAAUUAAGAUAUUCUUCUUAUGUUCCUAUUGUAAACCCUACUUCCUAAAGGAUUUCAUGAACUGUCUCAUUAAUCUUGAUUCCAGGAUACAUUUGUGAAAAAUUAAACUCUUAUAGUUUCAUAUAUGUGGUACCUUUAAUUCUCUGCAUCCAAAAGUGUACAAUGUUUGCUUCGAAUCACACUUGUUAAUGAACAAAUCAUUCUUCUUAAUUUGAUUCUCAACAACCCGUCUGCAUAUCAUGAAAAAGGGCAUACACUACUAUUAACAACAUGAUAUCUAUUUCAUGUGUGUGAUUAUAAAACAUACGACAACCAAUAUGUAACACCCAGAAUCAGAAAGACCAAGAAAGGAAAGGAAAACCCUAAGUCAAGGGGUCAACUCGUCGAGUCCAAAGGUGAACUCGACGAGUCAGAGUGGGAUCCGGGUUAUAGAAUAAGUGACCGACUCGACGAGUCAGAAAGUGGACUCGGCGAGUCUGGUUUGAUCAAGGAAAGCCCUAAUCCGAGGGUUUGCACCCUAGUUAAAGGACCUUAAGUCCUUUCCUUAGUCCCCCCUUGUCGGCCAGAAGCUGCUAUACACGAUACCAAACCCUAGUUGAGUGAGAGAAGGAAGAAAGUGAGUUUAGGGCUUUUGCAAGAGGAAGGUUUGGAGGAUUUGACCACUAAGGAGCUGGAGGAUCCAACCCUUUUGUUGUGAGCAUCAGUUUGAAGGUAACAAUUUGUCACCUUGCCUUUGUUGCUUCUAGAUCUUCUCAUGGAUGAGCUUUUAGGGCCAUUUUGGUAUGAUAAGGAGCCUUUUUGAGUUAGAAGUCUAGAUCUAAGGUUUCUACUUCAGAUCUAGGUGUGUCUUGGUUUAGAGAUCCAUAAAGUAUCAGUUUUUGGUGUGUUGGUUAAGUAUGUUUGCCCCAAACCCUAGCCCUAGAGUAUUUUAAGCCUAUAUCUCCUUGGUUUCACGUAAAGUUUGCAACUUUACGUGAGGAAUAGACUUUGGAAGAGUGGAUCUACAAGAUGAAGCCCCUGCAUGGCUCGAAAAGCCACUGUAUGGAUUAAGAACUGAAGCUACUCGGAGAGUCACAUGGGUGGACUCGGCGAGUUGGAUGAAGAUAGGCAGGAACUCGACGAGUUGGAAGAACAACUUGGCGAGUCUGUUGAAUAUUGCCAUGGACUCAGCGAGUCUGUUCUUGGACUCGACGAGUUGGAUCGCAAAACCUCAACCUUUUCUGGUUAAGACUUAGAUCGAUGAAUUAAGUGAUGACUCAGUGAGUUGGGCAGGAUGGGACUCAUAGAUCGUUGACCUCGACGAGUCUUGGGGUGACUCGGCGAGUUGAGUCAUUUUAUGGGAGUUUCUGAAUUCAUGGACUCGACGAGUCUUGGGGUGACUCGGCGAGUAGAGUCAGUCAAGAGGGUUGACUUUGACCAAGAAUUUGACUUUGGCAAGAGUGGGCUUAGACGGUUUCUAAGAGUUAUGUUUGGAUCUAAGUGUUAUGUAUAUAGAUAUUGGUAGCUCGGGGAGCUAGUGGAGCAGCGGUUCAGAGAAUUAUCAAUCAGCAGUCAGAGGGUUAUCAGCAAGAGUUCCUCAGUUCAGGUGAGUUUCCCUUUUGUGUGAAUGGGUCUAAGNAAUGGGUCUAAGGCCACAAUGCCGGCCCAUGUAGUUAUGAGUAGGAAGACCCGGGGGUUAGCCCUAGGCACUGUUUGCUAUUAUGAUAUUCAGGACCAAGGUCCGAUGUCGGGCGGGUGCCCAAGGAAUGGUUUGCAUGAUAGAGUAUACUUGUUGUCUGUGUGAUGCAUGUAUGUGCCUGGUAGGAAGGUGAGUGUGGGCGAGGUCCCGUAUCUCACCAAUAGCAGAGUAUGGACGGUGUUCCAUAUCUCAUUAUUAGCAGAGCAUAGGCGAGGCCCGAGAUAGGUAUGGAGUGAGUGUGGGCGUGGUCCCGUAUCUCACUUACAGUAGGAGCUUGGACGGGGUUCCAUGACUCACUAGUGACAGGAUAGGGCGAGGCCCAAGACAGGCGAGACCUAAGGACAGGAUUACAGUAGGGUAUGUUCAAUUAUGUGUUAUAUGCUAAUUGUAUUAUGUGGUUAGCGGGUGGGGCCCAGAGACAGGCGGGGGCUAAGAGAAACAUAUAUGUAUCCGAGCGGGGCUCGAAGCCAGGCGGGGACUGGAGCGGNUGUAGCGGGCGAGACCCGAAGUAGCGGGCGUGGCCCAGUAUGUGCAGUAUGUGUUUAUGCAGGGUAUGUGGUAGGUUGGGGGAACUCACUAAGUUUUGUGCUUACGGUUUUCAGUUUUGUUUUCAGGUACUUCCGGUAGCGGAAUGAAGAGCUCGGGGUGAUCGCAUGGCACAAACCAUUGAUUAGUCAGCCUGGGAUGUUUUACUCUGAUAAUGAAAUUAUGUUUUGGAAUUAAUACUCUGAAUUAUGUUAUGCUUAAUGACAUGUUUUUAUAAAAAUGGUUUUAAUAAUGAUUUAAAGAAAAAAUUUUGGUACCGAUUUUUGGGAUGUUACACAAUAUGAACUCAUAUGUGAACUGUUUGAAGCCAAAACUUUGGAGGAGCAAUUUUAGAAACAUUUGGUGCACGUGCACCAACUUCUUGGUCACUAACACUCCUUUCUUAAUCCUAAAGCCAUGAAUGAACACUAUACUCAAUAAAGUGAAUGAAUGUAGUGAUAAAGAAAGGGCAUCGGACAAAAAAAGAAAGAUAAUUAUAGGUGAAUGGGUUAAAUGUGGAUUCCAGAUCAAUAUACAAAGAUAACAAUCUCAAUUAGGAUUCAAAAGCACAUAUGUAUCAUCAAAAACAAUUUUAUAUGCUAAAUUUUAAAAAGUAUAGUUUUUACUGCAAUUGUUUAGAUGGGCUAACAAUCGAACUCAUACGAACUUGCUAAACAAUGAUGAUACACAUGUGCAACAAAAAACAAUUUCAAUACAUGGAAAAGAAAUGGAUCAACAUUUUCAAAAAUUAAAAUUAAAAUAUGUUAGAAAGCUACAAGAAAGAAAACAAUUAAAGUGAUGAUACACAUGUGCAUAAUAUAACAAUUUUAUAUGCUAAAUUCUAAAAACCUAUUUUUUAGCACUUGUUUAAAUACCUUCAUCGUGUUCAUCAGUUCCCCUUCCAUCUUGAAACGUAUUACCAACAUCAACAUCAGCAUCAAAAUCAACUUCAGAAUCUAUUAUCUAUAAUGAAAUAUGCCAAUGGUAUUGGACAUGAAAUCUGAAUCCCUUUUUAGAUUUUCCUGUUAAAUAAAGGAUGAUGAUAUUAGAUGGCUUAAAAGAUGUAUCUAUCAAACCUCAUAAACGAUGAACACACAAUCAGUUUAAAAUUUCAUGAACACACAUGAUCAAAAUUCAGUAUUAUGUUAUAAAAUUGGUGAAUUUAAUUUUCCAGAAUUGUUGUUCAGAUAACAUUAAAUUAAAAAUUAUAACAUGAACAACUUUAUAUAUAAUAAUGUUUAUUGUUGGAUUUUCCAAAUUAAAAAGUUUUGAUUGUAUAUUUUUCAAACACAGUUGAGUGUUGUAGUGAAGAAGUACCAUAAUACCAUAAACAUAUUAACAAAAGUGCAUUGUUAUUUCUUGUUUCAUUACAUAAUUAAAAAAAAAAGUGAACUACUUAAAAAUGAAUUACAUUAUCAUUAAGACUAUGCGGACUAACGGAGUGGCACUCACCAAGUCACUCGCUUUCCUCGACAAAAAUAUAGAACACCACCCCCUAGCUCUUGCCAGGGGGUUCGCCAAAUAAAACACGCUAAACACAAAACGAGAAGAAAUAGAGAGUGCUGUGAGGUUUUGAUUGGCUGAAAUGCAUUGCGUAGGAUUGCAUAUUUAAACUUCAGCGUAUUUAAUUCUUGAUUAUUCUUGACUCCAUCCC